rnacentral:snRNA from 1 species
AUCUCUUCGGAGACAUCCGAUAAUAUUGGAACGAUACAGAGAAGAUUAGUAUAGCCCCUGUGCAAGGAUGACACGCACAAAUCGAGAAAUGAUCAAAUUUUUU